rnacentral:rRNA from 1 species
GUAAUGUCUGGGAAACUGCCUGAUGGAGGGGGAUAACUACUGGAAACGGUGGCUAAUACCGCAUAACGUCGCAAGACCAAAGAGGGGGACCUUCGGGCCUCUUGCCAUCAGAUGUGCCCAGAUGGGAUUAGCUAGUUGGUGAGGUAACGGCUCACCAAGGCGACGAUCCCUAGCUGGUCUGAGAGGAUGACCAGCCACACUGGAACUGAGACACGGUCCAGACUCCUACGGGAGGCAGCAGUGGGGAAUAUUGCACAAUGGGCGCAAGCCUGAUGCAGCCAUGCCGCGUGUAUGAAGAAGGCCUUCGGGUUGUAA